CAUCCGCCUAUGCCCUAGGGCUAGUGGAAGACUUAAGAUGGCGGCGUUUGCACGGAGUGCAAUCACUGCGUCCUUACGGGGGUUGCAAGGCGUCCGAAGUAUGAGUCCACUAACAAAAGUCCAGAAACUCGCCAGUUAAUAGUAUUGUGUCUCUUCAAAAUAUCGGAGAAUAAUUUCUUUCUCGCUGAUCGCCUAACUUCUACUGACGAAGCUUGGAAGUUGCAGAAGAUGGAGUUCGCUCUUGUUGCCCAGGCUGGAAUGCAAUGGCAUGACCUUGGCUCACUGCAACCUCUGCCUCCCCAGUUCAAGUGGUUCUCCUGCCUCAGCCUCCCGAGUAGCUGAGAUUACAGGUACUGGCUCCUGUAUCACCCAGCUCUGGAGUUGAAAGAGCUCUUCAUUCCUGAGUCUCCUGUACCACUGAGAAUAGGCUGGAGUGCAGUGGCGCAAUCUCGGCUCUCUGCAACCUUCACCUCCCGUGUUCAAGUGAUUCUCCUGCCUCAGCCUCCUGAAUACCUGAGAUUACAAGCAUGAGCCACCGCGUCCAGCAAGAAUAGGUGAUUUUCAAACUUGGAAACAUUCAGAAGUUAUCGCCUCAGUUUCAGAUUGAGUAGUCUCAAAGAGAUUACAGACAUCUACCACAAAUUCUCUACUUGGUGUGGUGCAAAAUCAGUAUGAUGUAAACUUUGUCUCUCAGUUUCUUCAAAGGAAAGAAGCAACUGGAACACACAUAUAACACUAACCCUUCCAGCUGCAUUAUGAGGGACCAGUACCUGUCUCAAGGCAAAAUUAUGACUUAGUUCAUCCUCACCUCUGGAGGCCAGUAAAAGUGGGUUAUAGAAGAACAAAGAGGCAUCUAGAUCUUUCACUGGGUUAUUUGGAGAGAAACAUCUCCUACCGAAGGCCAGUUUAACAAGACUGGUAGAGGAGGUUAUCUUAUCUAAUUCACAGAAAUCAACACAUUGAGUCAAGAAAAAUGAAACACAGAAACACUCUAAAUAAAAGAAGAUAAGUCUUCAGAAACCAACCCUAAUGAAAUGAAGAUAUGUGAUUAACCUGACAGGAAAUUAAAAAGAGCAACCAUAAAGAGUCUCAUGGGAGCAAUGCAUGAACAAACUGAGAAUUUUCAUAAAGAAAUAAAAGAUAACAAAAAGUAUAAAGUUGAAGAAUACAAUAACUGGACUCAAAAAUUUAAUGUGUCCAACAGAAGAAUCGAUGAAGCAGAAGAAAGGGCUAUCAAACUUGUAGAUAGGCCAUUGGAAAUCAUGUAAUGUGAGGAGAAAAAAGAAAAAAGAUUGAAGAUAGUUUAAGAGACUUUUGAGACAUCCUCAAAGGGGAAUAAUUUAUACAUUACCAGAUGGAGAAGAUAGAGGGAAAAGGACAGAAAACAUAUUUGAAGAAAUAAUGUCAGAAAACCUCAUAAUUCUGGCAAGGAAAUAGAAAUUUAGAUCUAAGAAUCUCGAACAUCAGGUAUGAUGAAUCCAAGGAGACUCACACCAAACCAUAUUGUAAUUAAAUAAAGGUUAAAGACAAUCUUCAGAGCAGCAAGGGAAUAGUCUCUUCUUACAUACAAAAUGAUCCACGGAAGACUGUCAGCAGACUUCACCAGAAAACUUUCACGCCAGAAGGCAGUCGUGAUAUAUACAAAAAGCUGAAAGGAAAACACUGCCAUCCAGGAAUACUAUCUCCAACUAUCCUGUGUUUCAAAAAUUAAGGAGAAAUAUAAAGUUCUCAAACAAAAGAUGUGGGAGUUUACCACCACUAGACCUGCACGGGAAGAAUUGCUAAAGGGAGUCCUUCAAGCUGUAGUAAAAGAGUGCUAAUUAGAAACAUGAAAACAAAUACAAAAAAAAUUCUAAAACUUGUAUGGAACUACAAAAGACAUUAAAUAAUCAAAGUAAUCUUGAGCAACAAGGACACAGCUGGAGGCAUCACUCUACCUGAUUUUGUAAUCCAUUAUCAAAAAACUGUGGUACCAGCAUAAAAACAGAUUCACUGACCAGUGGAACAGGAAAGCCCAGACAUAACUCAUACAUUUCCAUCCAAUUGAUUUUUGACAAAAGUGGCACACAGAAUGGGGAGAGGACAAAUAAAUAAAUAAAUUGUUUUGAGAUA
ensembl:lncRNA JPX JPX transcript, XIST activator